AUUGAACGCUGGCGGCAGGCCUAACACAUGCAAGUCGAGCGGAUGAAGGGAGCUUGCUCCUGGAUUCAGCGGCGGACGGGUGAGUAAUGCCUAGGAAUCUGCCUGGUAGUGGGGGAUAACGUCCGGAAACGGGCGCUAAUACCGCAUACGUCCUGAGGGAGAAAGUGGGGGAUCUUCGGACCUCACGCUAUCAGAUGAGCCUAGGUCGGAUUAGCUAGUUGGUGGGGUAAAGGCCUACCAAGGCGACGAUCCGUAACUGGUCUGAGAGGAUGAUCAGUCACACUGGACGGGAUACAGGGACCAACCUCCUACGGGGGGCGCGGGGGGGGAAUUUUGAAAAGAGGGCGAAAGCCUGAACCAGCCAUGCCGUGUGUGAAAAGAAGGUCUUCGGAUUCUAAACCUUUUUAAUGUGGGGGGAGGGACAAUAAGUAAAUACCUUCUUUUUUUAACGUACCAAAAAAAAAGGACCCGGAAUAGGUUGGUC
rnacentral:rRNA from 1 species